rnacentral:rRNA from 1 species
CAGCCGCCGCGGUAAUACGGAGGGUGCAAGCGUUAUCCGGAUUUACUGGGUUUAAAGGGUGUGUAGGCGGGCUAUUAAGUCAGUGGUGAAAUCUCCGAGCUUAACUUGGAAACUGCCAUUGAUACUAUUAGUCUUGAAUUUUGUUGAGGUAGGCGGAAUAAGUCAUGUAGCGGUGAAAUGCAUAGAUAUGACUUAGAACACCAAUUGCGAAGACAGCUUGCUAAACAAAUAUUGACGCUGAGGCACGAAAGCGUGGGGAUCAAACAGGAUUAGAUACCCUGGUAGUCCACGCCCUAAACGAUGAUUACUCGACAUACGCGAUACACAGUGUGUGUCUGAGCGAAAGCAUUAAGUAAUCCACCUGGGAAGUACGACCGCAAGGUUGAAACUCAAAUGAAUUGACGG